UGGGGAAUAUUGCACAAUGGGCGCAAGCCUGAUGCAGCCAUGCCGCGUGUGUGAAGAAGGCCUUCGGGUUGUAAAGCACUUUCAGCGAGGAGGAAGGUGGUGAACUUAAUACGUUCAUCAAUUGACGUUACUCGCAGAAGAAGCACCGGCUAACUCCGUGCCAGCAGCCGCGGUAAUACGGAGGGUGCAAGCGUUAAUCGGAAUUACUGGGCGUAAAGCGCACGCAGGCGGUUUGUUAAGUCAGAUGUGAAAUCCCCGGGCUCAACCUGGGAACUGCAUUUGAAACUGGCAAGCUAGAGUCUCGUAGAGGGGGGUAGAAUUCCAGGUGUAGCGGUGAAAUGCGUAGAGAUCUGGAGGAAUACCGGUGGCGAAGGCGGCCCCCCUGGACGAAGACUGACGCUCAGGUGCGAAAGCGUGGGGGCAGCAAACAGGAUUAGAUACCCUGGUAGUCCACGCUGUAAACGAUGUCGAUUUGGAGGUUGUGCCCUUGAGGCGUGGCUUCCGGAGCUAACGCGUUAAAUCGACCGCC
rnacentral:rRNA from 1 species